GAGGGUACAGCUCAAGUGGUAGAGCGCAUGCUUAGCGUGCUUGCAGUCCUGGGUUCGAUCCCCAGUACCGCCA
rnacentral:tRNA from 1 species